UCGAGUCAAGUUUCUCACCUCUCCAGGAGGAAGUGCCAUUUGUCUUCAUACCCCCCUAGCCCACGUUCUCCUUCUCAGUUUUCUAUAAAUAUGGCUGCUUUCUUCUCUACUUUAACCCACCAUUUUCACUAACUUUGAAGCUCUGGUUCGUGAAGAAAAGUAUGGAAGAAUCUGUUAAGCUCAGGAGGGAUAGCGCCAUGGAUGUUUUUGUAAUCGAUCAUGUCUCUAGAUUCCUGGGUUUUGAUCCUUCUGUAGCGCUAUCCAUCCUGAGUUCAAUAGGUUCUUCUUGCUCUGCAUCUCCCGCUUGCUUGCUGGUUUCUGCCAUUAAAGGCUCUUUCAAAAGUUCUCCCAGCUGAUCCUGCAGUUUCUUUUCUUCUUCUUCUUCUUCGUCGUCUUCUUCUUGAUGGAAGAAGGAAAAGCAGAAGAAAAAUCUUAAAAUAAUGAUAUGCUUCCUUUCGAGAGGACCAUAAUGAGACGAGGACAAACAUUAUUAUUAGGUUUUUAUUUAAUUUAGAUAUUUGGUUCCCUGUUCAUGCAACCUUGCAAUCUCUGAGUGUCGCAGAUUUUUCUUUUCAUUAUUUGUUUUUUCUUUCCAUAUUGGUCAAGGUGUUAGGAAUCUAAUUAUGGAUGGAAAUGGCAGUUCACGUUUGCCCCAUUAUCUACCUCAUAUGUAAUAUAAAUCAGAAAAUGGCCGGUAAUGAUUAUAAAUUUAUUAUAUAAAAAAAGCAAAAAAAAAAAAAAAAAGAUAUUAUGAAUA